CCUACGGGAGGCAGCAGUGGGGAAUAUUGCACAAUGGGGGAAACCCUGAUGCAGCGACGCCGCGUGAGCGAUGAAGUACUUCGGUAUGUAAAGCUCUAUCAGCAGGGAAGAAGAUGACGGUACCUGACUAAGAAGCCCCGGCGAACUAUGUGCCAGCAGCCGCGGUAAUACGUAGGGGGCAAGCGUUAUCCGGAUGUACUGGGUGUAAAGGGAGCGUAGACGGCGAUGCAAGGCAGAUGUGAAAGCCGGGGGCUCAACCCCGGGACUGCAGUUGGAACUGUGUGGCUGGAGUGUCGGAGAGGCAGGCGGAAUUCCUAGUGUAGCGGUGAAAUGCGUAGAUAUUAGGAGGAACACCAGUGGCGAAGGCGGCCUGCUGGACGAUGACUGACGUUGAGGCGCGAAAGCGUGGGGAGCAAACAGGAUUAGAUACCCGGGUAGUC
rnacentral:rRNA from 1 species